rnacentral:rRNA from 1 species
GACGAACGCUGGCGGCGUGCCUAAUACAUGCAAGUCGAGCGGACUAAUGGGAGCUUGCUCCCAUUAGUUAGCGGCGGACGGGUGAGUAACACGUGGGCAACCUACCUGUAAGACUGGGAUAACUUCGGGAAACCGGAGCUAAUACCGGAUGACAUAAAGGAACUCCUGGUCCUUUAUUGAAAGAUGGCUUCGGCUAUCACUUACAGAUGGGCCCGCGGCGCAUUAGCUAGUUGGUGAGGUAACGGCUCACCAAGGCGACGAUGCGUAGCCGACCUGAGAGGGUGAUCGGCCACACUGGGACUGAGACACGGCCCAGACUCCUACGGGAGGCAGCAGUAGGGAAUCUUCCGCAAUGGACGAAAGUCUGACGGAGCAACGCCGCGUGAGCGAUGAAGGCCUUCGGGUCGUAAAGCUCUGUUGUUAGGGAAGAAUAAGUGCUAGUUGAAUAAGUUGGCACCUUGACGGUACCUAACCAGAAAGCCACGGCUAACUACGUGCCAGCAGCCGCAGUAAGAC